GUGAACGCUGGCGGUCGGCCUCACACAUGCCAGUCGCACGGCAGCACAGUAAGAGCUUGCUCUUACGGGUGGCGAGUGGCGGACGGGUGAGGAAUACAUCGGAAUCUACUUUUUCGUGGGGGAUAACGUAGGGAAACUUACGCUAAUACCGCAUACGACCUACGGGUGAAAGCAGGGGAUCUUCGGACCUUGCGCGAUUGAAUGAGCCGAUGUCGGAUUAGCUAGUUGGCGGGGUAAAGGCCCACCAAGGCGACGAUCCGUAGCUGGUCUGAGAGGAUGAUCAGCCACACUGGAACUGAGACACGGUCCAGACUCCUACGGGAGGCAGCAGUGGGGAAUAUUGGACAAUGGGCGCAAGCCUGAUCCAGCCAUACCGCGUGGGUGAAGAAGGCCUUCGGGUUGUAAAGCCCUUUUGUUGGGAAAGAAAAGCAGCAGGUUAAUACCCCGCUGUUCUGACGGUACCCAAAGAAUAAGCACCGGCUAACUUCGUG
rnacentral:rRNA from 1 species